rnacentral:tRNA from 1 species
UGCGGAGUAGCGUAGCGGUCAACGCGCCCGGCCUGGGACCGGGAGUUCGUGAGUUCGAGUCUCACCUCUGCAAC